rnacentral:sRNA from 1 species
CCGUGAAACCCCCAAUUUUUUAAGGUUGACCUCGGAUCAGGUAGGAAUACCCGCUGAACUUAAGCAUAUCAAUAAGCGGAGGAAAAGAAACCAACAGGGAUUGCCUCAGUAACGGCGAGUGAAGCGGCAACAGCUCAAAUUUGAAAUCUGGCCGCAAGGUCCGAGUUGUAAUUUGUAGAGGAUGCUUUUGGCGAGGUGCCUUCCGAGUUCCCUGGAACGGGACGCCAUAGAGGGUGAGAGCCCCGUACGGUAGGACCACCAAGCCUCUGUAAAGCUCCUUCGACGAGUCGAGUAGUUUGGGAAUGCUGCUCUAAAUGGGAGGUGUACGUCUUCUAAAGCUAAAUACCGGCCAGAGACCGAUAGCGCACAAGUAGAGUGAUCGAAAGAUGAAAAGCACUUUGAAAAGAGGGUUAAAAAGUACGUGAAAUUGUUGAAAGGGAAGCAUUCAUGACCAGACUUGGGCUUGGUUGAACAUCCGGCGUUCUCGCCGGUGCACUCUGCCAGUCCAGGCCAGCAUCAGUUUGCCCCGGGGGAUAAAGGCGGCGGGAAUGUGGCUCCCUUCGGGGAGUGUUAUAGCCCGUCGUGUAAUGCCCUGGGGCGGACUGAGGAACGCGCUCGGCACGGA